rnacentral:piRNA from 1 species
UCUUAUUGUGAGAAUUGGAGAAGUCCC